GACGAACGCUGGCGGCGCGCUUAACACAUGCAAGUCGAACGGAAAGGCCUGCUUUCCCUUGUGGAUUGCGGGUACUCGAGUGGCGAACGGGUGAGUAACACGUGAGUGAUCUGCCCCCAACUUGGGUAUAAGCCUGGGGAACUGGGUCUAAUUCCCGAUAGGACUGCAGGGUGGUGCCUGUGGUGGAAAACGAUUUUCUAGUGGUUGGGGAUGAGCUCGCGGCCUAUCAGCUUGUUGGUGGGGUAAUGGCCUACCAAGGCGGCGACGGGUAGCCGGCCUGAGAGGGUGGACGGCCACAUUGGGACUGAGACACGGCCCAGACUCCUACGGGAGGCAGCAGUGGGGAAUAUUGCACAAUGGGCGGAAGCCUGAUGCAGCGACGCCGCGUGGGGGAUGACGGCCUUCGGGUUGUAAACUCCUUUCGACCGCGAGGAAGCCACCUGGUUGGAAGGGUGGUGACGGUAGUGGUAGAAGAAGCACCGGCUAACUACGUG
rnacentral:rRNA from 1 species